rnacentral:rRNA from 1 species
GCCUAUGGAAGAACCAUAUGGAAGAGUUAUGAUAUGGCUUCAGCUGAAUGUACUUGACUUCAUCUGAUGUCCGAAGCUAAAUGGUCCAGGGUACUUGGAUGGGAGACAACCUGGGCAAUCCUGGGUACUACAGGCC